rnacentral:rRNA from 1 species
CCUACGGGUGGCAGCAGUGAGGAAUAUUGGUCAAUGGGCGCGAGCCUGAACCAGCCAAGUAGCGUGAAGGAUGACUGCCCUACGGGUUGUAAACUUCUUUUAUAAAGGAAUAAAGUGAGGCACGUGUGCCUUUUUGUAUGUACUUUAUGAAUAAGGAUCGGCUAACUCCGUGCCAGCAGCCGCGGUAAUACGGAGGAUCCGAGCGUUAUCCGGAUUUAUUGGGUUUAAAGGGAGCGUAGAUGGGUUGUUAAGUCAGUUGUGAAAGUUUGCGGCUCAACCGUAAAAUUGCAAUUGAUACUGGCAGUCGUGAGUACAGUUGAGGUAGGCGGAAUUCGUGGUGUAGCGGUGAAAUGCUUAGAUAUCACGAAGAACUCCGAUUGCGAAGGCGGCUUGCUGGGUCGAUACUGACAUUGAGGCACGAAAGCGUGGGGAGCAAACAGGAUUAGAUACCCGAGUAGUC